GAGAGUAUAGCUCAGUGGUAGAACGCAUGCUUAACAUGCAUGAGGUCCUGGGUUCAAUCCCCAAUCCCUCCA
rnacentral:tRNA from 1 species